rnacentral:rRNA from 1 species
AGCGAACGCUGGCGGCAGGCUUUACACAUGCAAGUCGAACGGGUGUAGCAAUACAUCAGUGGCAGACGGGUGAGUAACACGUGGGAACCUUCCUAGGGGUACGGAACAACUCAGGGAAACUUGAGCUAAUACCGUAUACGUCCGUGAGGAGAAAGAUUUAUCGCCCUUAGACGGGCCCGCGUCGGAUUAGGUAGUUGGUGGGGUAACGGCCUACCAAGCCUACGAUCCGUAGCUGAUCUUAGAGGAUGAUCAGCCACACUGGGACUGAGACACGGCCCAGACUCCUACGGGAGGCAGCAGUGGGGAAUCUUGGACAAUGGGCGCAAGCCUGAUCCAGCCAUGCCGCGUGAGUGAAGAAGGCCUUAGGGUUGUAAAGCUCUUUUACCAGGGAUGAUAAUGACGGUACCUACAGAAGAAGCCCCGGCUAACUUCGUGCCAGCAGCCGCCGUAAAAC